rnacentral:rRNA from 1 species
CUUUGCUGGCGACCGGCGCACGGGUGAGUAACACGUAUCCAACCUGCCCUUUACUCGGGGAGUAGCCUUUCGAAAGAAAGAUUAAUACCCGAUAGCAUAAUGAUUCCGCAUGGUUUCAUUAUUAAAGGAUUCCGGUAAAGGAUGGGGAUGCGUUCCAUUAGGUUGUUGGUGAGGUAACGGCUCACCAAGCCUUCGAUGGAUAGGGGUUCUGAGAGGAAGGUCCCCCACAUUGGAACUGAGACACGGUCCAAACUCCUACGGGAGGCAGCAUG